rnacentral:rRNA from 1 species
ACCUACGGGAGGCUGCAGUGAGGAAUAUUGGUCAAUGGUCGGGAGACUGAACCAGCCAAGCCGCGUGAGGGAUGAAGGUACAGAGUAUCGUAAACCUCUUUUGUCAGGGAACAAAGGCGGGGACGCGUCCCCGGAUGAGUGUACCUGAAGAAAAAGCAUCGGCUAACUCCGUGCCAGCAGCCGCGGUAAUACGGAGGAUGCGAGCGUUAUCCGGAUUUAUUGGGUUUAAAGGGUGCGCAGGCGGUCUGUUAAGUCAGCGGUCAAAGCCCGGGGCUCAACCCCGGUCCGCCGUUGAAACUGGCAGUCUCGAGUUGGAGAGAAGUAUGCGGAAUGCGCGGUGUAGCGGUGAAAUGCAUAGAUAUCGCGCAGAACUCCGAUUGCGAAGGCAGCAUGCCGGCUCCACACUGACGCUGAGGCACGAAAGCGUGGGUAUCGAACAGGAUUAGAUACCCCAGUAGUC